rnacentral:rRNA from 1 species
UACAGAGGGUGCGAGCGUUGUUCGGAAUUAUUGGGCGUAAAGGGCGCGUAGGCGGUGCGGUAAGUCACCUGUGAAAUCUCCUGGCUCAACUGGGAGCUUGCAGGCGAAACUGCCGUGCUGGAGUGUGGGAGAGGUGCGUGGAAUUCCCGGUGUAGCGGUGAAAUGCGUAGAUAUCAGGAGGAACACCGGUGGUGUAAACGGCUUUCUGGACCAUAACUGACGCUGAGGCACGAAAGCGUGGGUAGCAAACAGG